GUAACCUGACAGUACAGGCUUCUUCAUGCUCGACACUCCAGAGUGGACACCAGCUGCUCACCCGUUCAGGAAAGGAGAUAAAAAGGCUGAUCUUAAUGAGUGCUUCUACUUUACGCAUCUUUGUCUGAUUCCCACAUUUUUCUUUCUAGGAUCCCUCCAGCUAACCAGAACUGACUUCACCGGCAAGUUAUUAUGAUUAAUUCUAACAGUCUCCUACCCGAAUGCCCCAAAAUACUCAUGAAGUCAACCAUAAAUUCAAGCCCCAGAACACUAGAAAUCUUGGACAAACUGGGAGACAGCUUGUCACCAUCUAAGAAAAGAGCAGGCCUCACAGAGUUAUCUGCAGUAACAAGAUAUAAUAUGAGCAGACAUAAACUCUCACAUAAGGACUGGGAGAACCCAACAGCCUCCACUUGCUUAUUUAAUAAAAAGAGGAAAUAAACAACAGAAAAACAUGUUGAGAAAAUACCCGUGCUUUGGAUAUGAACAGUUUUGAAGAGUCAACCAAUUCACAGUGUUUUUUAACUUUUGUAUUUUGAUGACUAAUUGUUUGGUGCUGCCAUGAAUAUUUCAUACCUGGAACCAUGUUUUGGUAACAAUAGAAUGUGAGCACAAUGAACCAAAUCAGCAACUGAGCUACUUGUGGAUUUGUGACGGCAUGAAGA